AUUGAACGCUGGCGGCAGGCCUAACACAUGCAAGUCGAGCGAGCGGCGGACGGGUGAGUAAUGUAUGGGGACUGCCCGAUAGAGGGGGAUAACUACUGGAAACGGUGGCUAAUACCGCCUACUAGCGGAUAACCCAUAUGGGAUUAGCUAGUAGGUGGGGUAAAGGCUCACCUAGGCGACGAUGUCUAGCUGGUCUGAGAGGAUGAUCAGGCACACUGGGACUGCGCCACUGCCCAGACUCCUACGGGGGCAGCAGUUGGGAAUAUUGCACAAUGGGCGAAAGCCUGAUGCAGCCAUGCCGCGUGUAUGAAGAGGGCCUUAGGGUUGUAAAGUACUUUCCGCGGGGAGGCGUUACCCGCAGAAGAAGCACCGGCUAACUCCGUGCCAGCCGCCGCGGUAAUUC
rnacentral:rRNA from 1 species